UAUUUUAAACAAUACGACAUUAAUUCUUAACCAAUUAAAAUUCCUUAAAUACAUCGUUGAUUUAAUGUAGAUCUAUAUGGCCCUUUACAGCAUAUGGUUUAAA